rnacentral:rRNA from 1 species
AGAGUUUGAUCCUGGCUCAGGAUGAACGCUGGCGGCGUGCUUAACACAUGCAAGUCGAACGGAACUGUCAUUUUUGAAGCAAUUAGCUUGCUAAGGGUGGAAAUGUUGGCAGUUUAGUGGCGGACGGGUGAGUAACGCGUGGGUAACCUGCCUUACACAGGGGGAUAACACCUGGAAACAGGUGCUAAUACCGCAUAACAGGAAGAGGCGCAUGCCACUUUCUUGAAAACUCCGGUGGUGUAAGAUGGACCCGCGUCUGAUUAGCUGGUUGGCGGGGUAACGGCCCACCAAGGCGACGAUCAGUAGCCGGCCUGAGAGGGUGGACGGCCACAUUGGGACUGAGACACGGCCCAAACUCCUACGGGAGGCAGCAGUGGGGAAUAUUGGACAAUGGGGGGAACCCUGAUCCAGCGACGCCGCGUGAGUGAAGAAGUAUUUCGGUAUGUAAAGCUCUAUCAGCAGGGAAGAAAGAAAUGACGGUACCUGACUAAGAAGCCCCGGCUAACUACGUG